UACGGGGGGGGUAAGCGUUGUUCGGAAUUACUGGGCGUAAAGGGCUCGUAGGCGGCCAACUAAGUCAUACGUGAAAUCCCUCAGCUUAACUGGGGAACUGCGUGUGAUACUGGAUGGCUUGGAUUUGGGAGAGGGAUGCGGAAUUCCAGGUGUAACGGUGAAAUGCGUAGAUAUCUGGAGGAACACCGGUGGCGAAGGCGGCAUCCUGGACCAAUAUUGACGCUGAGGAGCGAAAGCCAGGGGAGCAAACGGG
rnacentral:rRNA from 1 species